CAGCAGCCACGGUAAUACGUAGGUGGCAAGCGUUGUCCGGAAUUAUUGGGCGUAAAGCGAGCGCAGGCGGUUAGAUAAGUCUGAAGUUAAAGGCUGUGGCUUAACCAUAGUACGCUUUGGAAACUGUUUAACUUGAGUGCAAGAGGGGAGAGUGGAAUUCCAUGUGUAGCGGUGAAAUGCGUAGAUAUAUGGAGGAACACCGGUGGCGAAAGCGGCUCUCUGGCUUGUGACUGACGCUGAGGCUCGAAAGCGUGGGGAGCAAACAGGAUUAGAUACCCCAGUAGUCCCUGUCUCUUAUACA
rnacentral:rRNA from 1 species